UCUGUCUCGCACGCACAAACAAAACAAUGUUGUUCACUUUCUAUCUAUGUUGUUCUUCCAUUUUUUUUCAAUAAAUCCUACGUAAAACCCAAAACAAAACCCGGAUCAAGAAAUAUAAAAACAAACAUAAGCUAAUACAAAAGGGGUUGGGCUGUAUAAGAAAGAGUGGAACUUUACUUGUAAGAUGAGAGAAGAACAAAGAGCGAG
rnacentral:lncRNA from 1 species